rnacentral:ncRNA from 1 species
CAAAGGCUUGGUCCUGACUUUAAUAUCAGCUUUAACACGAUUUACACAUGCAAGUAUCCGCAACCCUGUGAAAAUGCCCUUAAUUCCAUGCUCUGGGACGAGGAGCCGGUAUCAGGCACACAUAGCCAGCCCAAGACACCUUGCAAAGCCACACCCCCAAGGGAUCUCAGCAGUGAUAAAAAUUAAGCAAUAAGUGAAAACUCGACUUAGUUAGUGUUUAAAGGGCCGGUAAAACUCGUGCCAGCCACCGCGGUUAUACGAGAGGCCCAAGUUGAUAAUCACGGCGUAAAGGGUGGUUAGGGGAAUAUAAAAUAAAGUUAAAGAGCCCCUUAGCCGUUAUACGCUUUUAGGGUUUUGAAGCCCGCACACGAAAGUAACUUUAAUUCAUCCAACCCGACCCCACGAAAGCUAAGAAACAAACUGGGAUUAGAUACCCCACUAUGCUUAGUUAUAAACCUAGAUAAGUAAUUACUACCACGAUCCGCCAGGGUACUACGAGCAUUAGCUUAAAACCCAAAGGACUUGGCGGUGCCUUAGAUCCACCUAGAGGAGCCUGUUCUAGAACCGAUAAUCCCCGUUAAACCUCACCACUACUAGCCACUACCCGCCUAUAUACCGCCGUCGUCAGCUUACCCUGUGAAGGAAUUGUAGUAAGCAGAUUAGUAAAACCAAAAACGUCAGGUCGAGGUGUAGCGCAUGCAGUGGAAAGAAAUGGGCUACAUUUUCUACAUUAGAAUACAACGAACAGUAUUAUGAAAUUACAACUUAAAGGAGGAUUUAGCAGUAAAAAAGAAAUAGAGUGUCUUUUUGACCAGGCUCUAAGGCGCGCACACACCGCCCGUCACUCUCCCCAGUCAAUAACAUAAACAUACAUAAUAUAAUCAAAAAGACAAGGGGAGGCAAGUCGUAACAUGGUAAGUAUACCGGAAGGUGUACUUGGAUCAAAA